AUCUGUCAGCUGCAGGUAUUUCUGAGACAUGACAGCUUCUCAACGCAGACAUCCACCGUGACAGGACGCUGAAAAGUCAGAGCGCUCUCAUAAGUCAACAGGCUCCACCAUGUCGUCUAAACUGGUCAUCAGGCAGCCUCAGCCAGUCAUGGAUUCCCGAGACUCUGAGGAGUGGGGAUCUGGGAUAUGUGACUGCUGUGACGAUGUGCCCGAGUGCUGUUUUGCUUUCUGGUGCUGCCCCUGUUUCGCCUGUAUAACCACCAAAGCUUACGGUCAGUGUCUCUGCCUCCCCCUGCUGGACAUCUUUGGCGCCAUCCCGCCCAUCACCAUGUCCAUGAGGGUCUCCAUGCGGCAGCGAUACGGCAUCAAGGGCACCAUGUGUCGGGACUGCGUCUACGCAACCUGCUGUACGUCCUGCACCUGGUGUCAGAUGUCCAGAGAGAUGAAGAGAAGAAAAAUCCCAAUCGUUCUGGUCAGCGCCAAAAACACAUGACCUGUCUCCUCAGUCACCAGCAGGGCUGCCACACGGUUCGAUAAACCGCAGUCUGCACGGCGCGCCAAUAACUUUGAACUGCAGCCCUUUGAGAGAGAAUCGUGAAACAUCGGUUCAUGGAGCGUCACUGACUGAAAAUCUGUAACAUAACGCCUGUAAUGUAGCUUUAUGAGGGUUAGCUGGGAUGCUAACGUGUUGAAUGGAGCAUCAGAAAUGAUUGCUCCCAAAAAAAAAAAAAAAGUCUGGAAAUAAAAUCUGCUUUGUACAUUUUUUUUAAACAUGCAUUUCUAUUUUUUUUAUUUCUAUUAUUUUUAUAUCUAGCACUAUUUUUAAUGUCUGGUGGCUAUUUAGAAUUAAUUUAACUGAAUUAGUCACAUGGAUAUAUUUUUUGGGGGGUUUUGGUUCCUUCCCAUCGUUGCCAGCAUCUUGCUCAGAGGAAGUCCA